rnacentral:tRNA from 1 species
UAGCUCAGGUGGUAAAGAAUCUGCCUGCAAUGCAGGAGAUCCAGGUUCGAUUCCUGG